GUUUGACUUUCUCUCUUUUGUCCAUAGUUCUUGGAUGCCUUUUUACAAACUAUCCUGAACUAGACGGUUGAGCAGAGAAUCGACCAAUUUUUUAGUUUGCUUGAUUCUGGUUGUACUAGUUUGUGGAAGAAAAAGAGGCCUUCAACCAGUCGGUUGCUGCAAGUACAGAAUCACAAGGCUAACACCGGUGACAAAUCAUUUGAUUUAACAGCUUCAGUAGAUGAUGUUCGUGAAGAUGUGAAAGCGACUAAAGCGAAUCCAACAAUAUCUGAGAGUGAAAACCAGUUGAAAGAGAAGUUUCAAAUAGAUCUGAUGAUGGGGCAUUCUGCUGCUGUAUGGGAAUUUAGAGUAGCAACUAAGCUUACAAAGGACUGGAAUGGAAUUGAUCAAGUUGUACUUCGGACGCCAUACAAGGUGGUUCGGCACGGAUCCUGCUGCCGCAGCUGCUUCUUAGGACAACAAGGUAACUACUAGAAAUACUCUGUUUAUUUUAUCAUGAUUUUGAUUGUAUUGGUUUGUUAUUGUAUAGGCGCUGAUCGUCGGCUAUUUGAUGCAUUUAUUCUGGCAAUAAACAAGGCUCUAAUUGUGCUAAUUUUGAGUUACACCAAGCGAGUAGGCUCCAGCAAAACUCCCAAGCAGUACCAGUCUGGGUGAACGACGACAUCGAUUCCAACGAUUUCGGCAACACCGACGGGAACUCGUAAGAGAAGCGCUUUGGUGGAAAUACUUGAUAACACGAUUCCAUACUGAUAUUUGAUAGAGAGCCAUUAGGUCUGUGUCGGUUGGUAGAGCAGUACUUGAUAACACUGAUGUUGCAGUUAAGGCCUUAAGACCAGACAUAACUCAAGGGGAGAAGCAAUUUCAUCAAGAGGUAACUUCUUUUGCAAGAUACAAGAGGCAUAAAAUUUCUGGUUUUAACAAAUAUGUUUUUUUUGUCGAUAUAAGUAUAUACCAGUUAUAUACAGAAUUAAUGUGAUUUGAUUUUGUACGGUAGGACUUGUAGUCCUGUACU